rnacentral:rRNA from 1 species
GCAAGUCGAGCGGAAACGAUGAAAGCUUGCUCUUUAGGCGUCGAGCGGCGGACGGGUGAGUAAUGCUUGGGAAUAUGCCUUAUGGUGGGGGACAACAGUUGGAAACGACUGCUAAUACCGCAUAACGUCUACGGACCAAAGAGGGGGAUCUUCGGACCUCUCGCCAUUUGAUUAGCCCAAGUGAGAUUAGCUAGUAGGUGAGGUAAGAGCUCACCUAGGCGACGAUCUCUAGCUGGUUUGAGAGGAUGAUC